CAACCUACCUUUAACAGGGGGAUAACACUGAGAAAUUGGUACUAAUACCCCAUAAUAUCAUAGAAGGCAUCUUUUAUGGUUGAAAAUUCCGAUGGUUAGAGAUGGGCAUGCGUUGUAUUAGCUAGUUGGUGGGGUAACGGCUCACCAAGGCGACGAUACAUAGGGGGACUGAGAGGUUAACCCCCCACACUGGUACUGAGACACGGACCAG
rnacentral:rRNA from 1 species